rnacentral:lncRNA from 1 species
AAUUACUCAUAUCAGUCUUUUGUUUUCCCAACUUAAGAUCUUCAUGUUAAAUUUCAAAUGAUAUACCUGACCGAGCUUUGACUCUUCACUACUUAAUUUAUGCUAAUGAAUGUCGGUUGUCAGAAGCAUGAAACAAAACUUGUGAUCCAAAGGGGCAUAGCCCGGCUUUCUAUCCUAUUUCGGUUUUAACAAGGUUUUUCCCUUGUUUAUUUCUAUGAAUUAUUCACACCUCGAUUAUAUUUAUUCCUUCAAGAAUUGGG